ACAAUUCUCGGUCAAGGGUAUAUGAGUAGCUGCACUCCCCUGCUGGAACCUCCAAACAAGCUCUCAAAAAGUGGGGAAUUCUACU
rnacentral:sRNA from 1 species